rnacentral:rRNA from 1 species
CGGAGGGUGCGAGCGUUGUCCGGAAUCACUGGGCGUAAAGGGCGCGUAGGCGGCGCAUGUAGUCAACGGUGAAAGCCCGGGGCUCAACCCCGGGUCGGCCGUCGAUACUCGUGUGCUGGAGCACUGUAGAGGCAGGUGGAAUUCCGGGUGUAGCGGUGGAAUGCGUAGAGAUCCGGAAGAACACCGGUGGCGAAGGCGGCCUGCUGGGCAGUAGCUGACGCUGAGGCGCGACAGCGUGGGGAGCAAACAGGAUUAGAUACCCUGGGAGUCCACGCCGUAAACGAUGGGCACUAGGUGCUUGGGGGAGCGACCCUCUGAGUGCCGUCGCUAACGCAUUAAGUGCCCCGCCUGGGGAGUACGGCCGCAAGGCUG